GGGCCCGCACAAGCGGUGGAGCAUGUGGUUUAAUUCGAUGCAACGCGAAAAACCUUACCUACCCUUGACAUCAUCAGAACUUGUUAGAGAUAACUCGGUGCCUUCGGGAACUGUUUGACAGGUGCUGCAUGGCUGUCGUCAGCUCGUGUCGUGAGAUGUUGGGUUAAGUCCCGUAACGAGCGCAACCCUUAUUCUUAGUUGCCAGCACGUAAUGGUGGGGACUCUAAGGAGACUGCCGGUGCUAAGCCGGAGGAAGGCGGGGACGACGUCAAGUCAUCAUGGCCCUUACGGGUAGGGCUACACACGUGCUACAAUGGUCGGUACAGAGGGUUGCCAAGCCGCGAGGUGGAGCUAAUCUCAUAAAGCCGGUCAUAGUCCGGAUUGCAGUCUGCAACUCGACUGCAUG
rnacentral:rRNA from 1 species